rnacentral:rRNA from 1 species
CCUACGGGGGGCAGCAGUGGGGAAUAUUGCACAAUGGGCGCAAGCCUGAUGCAGCCAUGCCGCGUGUGUGAAGAAGGCCUUCGGGUUGUAAAGCACUUUCAGCGGGGAGGAAGGCGUUAAGGUUAAUAACCUUGGCGAUUGACGUUACCCGCAGAAGAAGCACCGGCUAACUCCGUGCCAGCAGCCGCGGUAAUACGGAGGGUGCAAGCGUUAAUCGGAAUUACUGGGCGUAAAGCGCACGCAGGCGGUCUGUCAAGUCGGAUGUGAAAUCCCCGGGCUCAACCUGGGAACUGCAUUCGAAACUGGCAGGUUAGAGUCUUGUAGAGGGGGGUAGAAUUCCAGGUGUAGCGGUGAAAUGCGUAGAGAUCUGGAGGAAUACCGGUGGCGAAGGCGGCCCCCUGGACAAAGACUGACGCUCAGGUGCGAAAGCGUGGGGAGCAAACAGGAUUAGAUACCCCGGUAGUC